rnacentral:lncRNA from 1 species
AAGAAGUACAAAAUGCAAAUGGCAUCUUUAAUUGGUAAGAAAGACACAUGAAAUAGAUUUGCUUCAAUUUAGAGUAAGCAGCUUCAUUUUUAGAAAGUAUAAAUUCUCUACUCCAGAAUGUAAAAGGUAAUACAGCUUACUCAGGAUUCAGUUUCAGAGGUGUAUUACAGAAUUCCUACCUUCAGCAGUGUUUCCCAAUCUUUUUCAUGUCAUGUACACAUGCAAAAUGAUAAUAUUUAUAUUGUACAAUGAGGUAAAUGGAAUAGGCAUCAGCAGCACUGGCCUGAAGGCUCUGUCUACCCUCCAAGUCUAGGCAUUCUGACUAAUUAAAAAUAUGAGUUUGGGAAUGCAUUUUUUAGAGUGAAUAUUAACAAAUUCUAGUGCUGCUUGUCAUUUUAAGUUUGGAUUUUACAGUUACGUAGGAAAAGAAAGAAGAAAUGCACCAACAUUUCCCAAGUAUCUCCUACGUUCAGACACAUUUCCCAAGUAUCUCCUAGGUUCAGACACAUUUCCCAAGUAUCCGCUACGUUCAGACACAUUUCCCAAGUAUCUCCUACGUUCAGAUACAUUUCCCAAGUAUCUCCUACGUUCAGACACAUUUCCCAAGUAUCUCCUACGUUCAGACACAUUUCCCAAGUAUCUCCUAUGUUCAGACACAUUUCCCAAGUAUCUCCUAGGUUCAGACACAUUUCCGAAGUAUCAACUACGUUCAGACACAUUUCCCAAGUAUCUCCUAUAUUCAGACACAUUUCCGAAAUAUCAACUACAUUCAGACACAUUUCCCAAGUAUCUCCUAUAUUCAGACACAUUUCCCAAAUAUCUCCUAUGUUCAGAUACACUUUAGGGUCUCCGACCACCCACAAUGAAAGCUAUCUACAUAAAUAUAUAAGGGAUUUGCUAAGAACAGGAACAAUCACAUUCCUUGGUAGUCUAUAAAUACAGAAUCAACAGAUCCAUCAGUCUCAUUAUAGACUGGGCACUCACCCAAACUGAUCUUUAAGGACUUUUCCCCAUCCAGUAACUGGGAACUAAUUGCUCUAGUCUACACUAUCAGCAUGUUUUACCAAUGGGUGCUGGUAAUGGAGCAGCCACAGUUCCAUUUUAAUGUUUGGUAAUAAUACAAAUAACUUGUUUGGAGUACAGAAAAAAAUACAUAAAUCAGCAACAUAGCUCAAAUAUGGAUAGAGAAAAUGACAGAAUGAUUUAGAAUGAAACAAAAUAGUUUUUCAAUAACUAAAAAAUGUAUUUUCCAGAAAAAAAG